rnacentral:rRNA from 1 species
UGAGGAAUAUUCCGCAAUGGGCGAAAGCCUGACGGAGCGACGCCGCGUGGGGGAAGACGGCCUUCGGGUUGUAAACUCCUUUUCCCGGGGAAGAAAUCUGACGGUACCCGGGGAAUAAGCAUCGGCUAACUACGCGCCAGCAGCCGCGGUAAUACGUAGGAUGCAAGCGUUAUCCGGAAUCAUUGGGCGUAAAGCGUGUGUAGGCGGCUCGUUGCGUCUUGCCUUAAAUCCCCGGGCUCAACUCGGGAGCUGGGCAGGAUACGGGCGGGCUAGAGGUCGGAAGAGGCAGCUGGAAUUCCCGGUGGAGCAGUGAAAUGCGUAGAUAUCGGGAGGAACACCGAUGGCGAAGGCAGGCUGCUGGGCCGAAUCUGACGCUGAGACACGAAAGCGUGGGGAGCGAACGG